AACGAACGCUGGCGGCAGGCCUAACACAUGCAAGUCGAACGAGAAGCUGGAGCUUGCUCCAGUGGAAAGUGGCAGACGGGUGAGUAACGCGUGGGAAUUUACCCAGUGGUACGGAAUAACUCAGGGAAACUUGUGCUAAUACCGUAUAAGCCCUUCGGGGGAAAGAUUUAUCGCCAUUGGAUGAGCCCGCGUUAGAUUAGUUUGUUGGUGGGGUAAUGGCCUACCAAGACUACGAUCUAUAGCUGGUCUGAGAGGAUGAUCAGCCACACUGGGACUGAGACACGGCCCAGACUCCUACGGGAGGCAGCAGUGGGAAUAUUGCACAAUGGGCGCAAGCCUGAUGCAGCCAUGCCGCGUGAGUGAAGAAGGCCUUAGGGUUGUAAAACUCUUUCACCGGUGAAGAUAAUGACGGUAGCCGGAGAAGAAG
rnacentral:rRNA from 1 species